UAUUGGACAAUGGGGGCAACCCUGAUCCAGCAAUGCCGCGUGUGUGAAGAAGGCCUGAGGGUUGUAAAGCACUUUCAGUGGGGAGGAGGGAGUUUAGGUUAAGAGCUAGAACUUUGGACGUUACCCACAGAAGAAGCACCGGCUAACUCCGUGCCAGCAGCCGCGGUAAUACGGAGGGUGCGAGCGUUAAUCGGAAUUACUGGGCGAAAGGGUGCGUAGGUGGUUGUAUAAGUUAUCUGUAAAUCCCUGGGCUAACCUGGGCAGGUCAGAUAAGACUGAUACUCAGAUGGGAGAGGGUAGUGAAUUUCCGGUGAGCGGUAAAUGCGAAGUCGAAGAACACCAGUGGCAAGGCGGCACCUGCCAAUCUGACUGGACAAA
rnacentral:rRNA from 1 species